rnacentral:rRNA from 3 species
CCUGAUGACCAUAGCAAGGUGGUCCCACUCCUUCCCAUCCCGAACAGGACAGUGAAACGCCUUUGCGCCGAUGAUAGUGCGGGUUCCCGUGUGAAAGUAGGACAUUGUCAGGC